rnacentral:rRNA from 2 species
UUUCAGAGAUGAGAAUGUGCCUUCGGGAACCGUGAGACAGGUGCUGCAUGGCUGUCGUCAGCUCGUGUUGUGAAAUGUUGGGUUAAGUCCCGCAACGAGCGCAACCCUUAUCCUUUGUUGCCAGCGGUCCGGCCGGGAACUCAAAGGAGACUGCCAGUGAUAAACUGGAGGAAGGUGGGGAUGACGUCAAGUCAUCAUGGCCCUUACGACCAGGGCUACACACGUGCUACAAUGGCGCAUACAAAGAGAAGCGACCUCGCGAGAGCAAGCGGACCUCAUAAAGUGCGUCGUAGUCCGGAUUGGAGUCUGCAACUCGACUCCAUGAAGUCGGAAUCGCUAGUAAUCGUGGAUCAGAAUGCCACGGUGAAUACGUUCCCGGGCCUUGUACACACCGCCCGUCACACCAUGGGAGUGGGUUGCAAAAGAAGUAGGUAGCUUAACCUUCGGGAGGGCGCUUACCACUUUGUGAUUCAUGACUGGGGUGAAGUCGUAACAAGGUAACCGUAGGGGAACCUGCGGUUGGAUCACCUCCUUACCUUAAAGAAGC